GCGGAAAGUUUGCUCCUAAGUGAGCGAAAGUCGAAGCGCAGGUGCCCGACACCCCGCCCUACCCAUGGCGAGGCAGUGGAAUCUCCGCGGAUCCGCCACGUUGUAGGUGGUGGCAGCGCAAACAGAACUGAAAGGAGGCCAAGGAGAAUGGAGGAAAAAUUUUAGCUUCUGCAACUGUGAAAUAGGAAAAAAGGCACUAUGAAUAAGGACUACCUACCUUGGGGUCUGCUGCCUGCUGCCUGGUAAGAGUUCCUGACGUCUCUUUUUUAUUAGUAGUAUUUGGGAUCUGCA
rnacentral:lncRNA from 1 species